AGGAGACGCUGGCGGCGUGGAUUAGGCAUGCAAGUCGAACGGUAGGAUACCUUCGGGUAUCUGAGAGUGGCGAACGGGUGAGUAACACGUAGGUGAUCUACCCUCAAGAUUGGGACAACCCAGGGAAACUUGGGCUAAUACCGGAUGAAAGCAGCAGUGAUGUUGUUUGAAAGGUGGCGUAAGCUGCCGUUUGGGGAUGAGCCUGCGUCCUAUUAGUUAGUUGGUGAGGUAACGGCUCACCUAGGCAAUGAUAGGUAGGCGGCCUUAACGGGUGGUCGCCCACACUGGGAUUGAGAUACGGCCCAGACUCCUACGGGAGGCAGCAGUCGAGAAUAGUCUACAAUGGUCGGAAGACUGAUAGUGCGACGCCGCGUGAACGAUGAAUCCCUUCGGGGUGUAAAGUUCUUUUAUAUGUGAGCAGUGCUUCUUAUAUUAACAGUAUGGGGAGAGAGAUAUUAGCAUAUGAAUAAGCAACGGCUAACUCCGUG
rnacentral:rRNA from 1 species